CAGCAUCUGUUUGACAGACCUGGAGCAAAAACCCAUUGCUUUUCUGGUUCUUGUUGAGAUGCAACAGAAACAGGUUCCUUGCGCUUUCCACCUGCCUGUCCUUGUGGCAGUCUGGAUUGAAGAAAGGAAUACAAACACAUUCUUACAGCCUCAGCUGGGAAGAGGUCUGUAAUACAUUGUUUCUGCCCAGGACUGUUGCCUUGGAGUGCAGGUAGAAGGACAUAGGAAGUGAGGGUGCUGGCAGGGAGGAUGGAAGGCAUGUGGAGCUGCUGCUACCAGAACUGCUCUUCAGGAGUCUUUGGCACCUUGGCUGCCUUGCAGCAGGUUUCUGCAGGAGUCAGAUAGAAGGGUCAGCAUGUAGGAGGGGUGAGAUAAAUAGUGCCUGUGGAGGUGAGAGCAGAGCCUCAAGGAGAAAUGUCUCAGUUGGAGAGAGAGAAAACUUGCCAAGCCUGAAAGUCCUUGGCGUAAAAAGAACGAUGCUGCCAGGGCACAGGCUUGCUGGUCAGUGGCCCUGCUCAGGUGGGUUCAUUUUCCCCUGGUCGUGGGGCUGAAUGUUCUUUCAUCCCCCAAAUCAAACGGUGCCGUAGGUUGCUCACAGAGAUGAAUGAUCUGAAAGCUCCCAGUGAGCACAGCCCACCGCUGGAACAGCCUCCCCAGGGAUUUGGUGAGUCCCCAUCACUGGAGGUAUUCAGGAGUUAUCAGUUACCUCAGUGCUUUGUAGGUGCUGAUAGCCUUCCUUUCCUCUUGGAGGAGCUCAUGUCCCCAUGGAAAUGCCACCCUAAAGACCGAGCUUUUCAGAGAUGAAACAAAUGGAUCAGGAGUAAAAAAAAAUAGUUAUUCAAGAUUUGAGAGCCAACUUAAGCAAUUCUGGACACUUGUGAGCCAGAGGUGUCAAUGACUGCAGGUGACACUGAGCAUCAUUUCAGACAACUGUCCAGAGUUUCCCACCCAAACUGCAAGACAAAGAUUUUGGGAGGUUUUGGCUAACGGGCAGAGGGAGAC
rnacentral:lncRNA from 1 species